ensembl:lncRNA
UUGGGGGUUUUUUGUUUGGGUUUUUUUUUUUUCCUCUUGUUAUUAGGCUACAAAGAUAUCUUGUGCGUGAAUGACACCAAUGGUACUCUGGUUCCCUUUGGACAAUACAGUGUUGUGCAGAUGUCCACACAGGAUCUUUUAGCACUAUCUUCAAGUAGCUCUGCCUGUCUCUGUGUUGUAUCACUAGGCACAUUCUGCAUUGUUAAUGAUUAAUUUCUAGUGAAGAACAAAUAAUGCAUCAACACAAUUUAAUCUUUGGAAGAGAGGGAAUACUGAAUAUAAUAUUCAAUGUGAAGAAGCUUCUACUACUUUGUUAGAAGCUGUUAUUGUUAAAGAUUUACACAUUCUACACACUUCCAAUUUUUCAAUGUGAUCAUAGAAUCAGAGAAUAUCAGAUUGGAAGGGACCUCAAGGAUCACCUGGUCCAACCUUUCUUGGUAAAAUCACAGUCUAGACAAGAUGUUCCAACACCCUGUUCAGCUGAAUCUUAAAAGUGUCCAAUACUGGAGAAUCCACCACUACCCUAGGGAGAUUAUUCCAGUGGCUGAUUGUUCUCAUUGUGAAAAAUUUUCCUCUUGUGUCCAACUGCAAUCUUCUCAGGAGUAACUUGUACCCCUUACCCCUCAUCUUUUCCAUGUGCCUUCUUGUAAAAAGGGAAUCUUCGUAUCCUUGUAGAUAAAGGUCUCCCUUGAGCCUUCUUUUCUCAAGACUGCACAAACUCAGUUCUCUCCACCUCUCUUCACUCGGCAGGCUUCCCUGUCCUUUGAACAUCUUUGCGGCCCUUCUCUAGACCCUCUCCAGACUGUCCACAUCUGUUUUGCAUUGCAGGGACCAAACCUGAGCACAGUAUUCCAGGUGUGCUUGACAAGCAAUGAGUAGAGCAGGUGCCCCUGGUGAAUCUGUGCUAGCUUUCCCCAAUCACAUGCUUCGUUUGGCUUGUAAUAGCCCUCAGGAGGAUUUGCUCCAUAACCUUUCUGGGACUGAAGUAAGACUGAUGGGCCUGUAAUUUCCUGGAUCCUCCUUUGAGCCCUUCUUGUAGAUGGGGGUGACAUUUGCUUUCUUCCAGUCUUCUAGGACAUCCCCCAAUAUCCAUGACUUCUCAAAGAUUAUGGAGAGCAGCCUUGCAACGAUUUCAGCCAGCUCUCUUAAUGCCCUUGGGUGGAUAUUGUCAGGGCCUAUUGAUUUGUAGGGGUCAAGCUCCUCUAGCAGUUCACAUACCAACUCUUCCUUUACUGAUGGUGGAUCUGUGUUUGCAUUAACCUGGAUUUUUGUUCCCAAGGCCUGGGGCCCAACAGUGCUGGUAAAGAGAGAGGUAAAGAAAGUGCUGAGAACUGUUGCCUUUUCAGCAUCUUGAUGACUAAUUCACCCCUACUGUUUACCAGCAGGCCAAUAUUUUCAUGCUGUUUCUGUUGGUUCUCUACAUGCCUGAAAAACCCUUUCUUGUAGUUUUUGACAUCUCUGGGUCAAUUUCAACUCAAGCUGAGCUUGGCUUUUCUAACUGCAUGUCUGCACACCCUGGCAAUGCUCUUGUAGUUCUCAAUGGGUAUUUGUCUGCUUUUUCAUCCCCAGUACUCUUCUAUAUGGUUUUGAGCAGACUCAGACAGCUCACACUUAAGCCAACGGGGUAUCUUGCUCCAGCUACUUCCCUUACCUUUACAGGGGAUGAACUGUUUUUGUGUUUCCAGAAAAACAUUCUUAAAAAAUUCACAGCAUUCACUAGCUCUUUUAUCCUCCAUGGAAGCUUGCCAUGCAAUCCCUUCCAUCUGAGCUCUGAGCGAGCUGAAGUUUGUUCUUCUGAAACACAAAACCUUUGUCUUAGUACUAACCUUCAGUGUGCUCAGCUGGAUCCCAAACUCUACAAUAUUGUCAUCACUACUACUAAGACUAUCACUAACUGUUACUACAAAGCAGGUUUUCUUGGUGUGUGAGUAGCAAGAUGUCCAGCAGUGCCUCAUUCCUGGUUGGCACAUCUAUACAUCCAAGAACUUGAUGGAUGACAUGGGAGCUGCUGUGUUGAUUUCCAACGUAUAUUUGAGUAGUUGAAGUCACUCAUAAGAACCAGGUUCUGUUGACCCAAAGCUUGCUUAAGUGACCCAAAUAUUGCUUCAUUUGCUGCCUUGUCUUGGUUUGGAGAUAAGUAGGAGGUGCCUACUGUAAGAUCCCUUUGGAGACUACCCCUCUGAUCUUGAAAUGGAGGCAUUUGAUAAGGUUUCCACAAUAGCUAUAGUGGACUUCUAUACAUUCAAGGUUUUCCUUAACAUAGAGUGUAAUUCUUCCUUGUCUUCUCUGCCUGUCUUUGCAAAGCAGCCUAUAGCUAUCCAUCACAAUCCUCAGGUCAUGUAAGCAUUCAUGUUUCAGUUAUUCCUAUGAUAUCAUAACUUCCUGUCCAGAUGUAGAGCUCCAGUUCCUCCUGUUUUUACCCCAGGCUGUGUAUACGUAGGCACUGGUAUACAUACACUUUAGGUGGUUGUCAUCUUUGGAGACAGCUGGUCUUCUGGUUGUCAUCUUUGGAGACAGCUAAGGAACAUUUGUCACUGCUCCAGUUGGCCUGACUUAUUCUCCAGACCAAAAAAAACCCCAAUCUAUAUUGCAGGAAAAAAUAUCUUCCAAAUAAUUAUUGUCUUUCAUUUUGUGGUUAAUUCUGAGUUUAUGAAAUUAAUCUGUGUACCUAGCAAUAUAAUUUUAAGUUUGCUUUUGACAGUUUUUUGAGAGAACCAAUAAUUUAACCAGUUUUGAACGUUCAACGUGGACCAAAGAAAGUAGUCCUGAUUUUGUGUAAAGUAACUUUCUGGUUUUGAAGUACACUGUUUUUAUUGGUCUAAUGGCAAUAAUGUUCCCACUUCAACAUAUUGCACAUUGAUUUUUUUUUUUUUUGCUUACAAGUUUUAUUUGAUUUCUGUUGUGGGGAAAGGCAUAUAUAAUGUCAUUUGAGCGGGAGCUCUAAUAACUGUAAGAAGUGAUUUAAUUGUUAUUUCCUGUUUUAAUUUAUGCAUUUCAUGCAUUAAGCAUACUCUAAUAAUGCCUUCCCUUCAUUAAAUCUGAAUAUUAUAUCAUGAGCAUAAUAUGCUGUAUGGUUUUGUACACAGCCAUUCAACACUGCAUUUGUAUAAUUCCACAUAAGCAGACACAAUAGUAUUCCUGGGUGUAAUGAAGUGUGGAUGAAUCAGGGCCAAAAAAGACCCAGUAUGUGACUCUAAUAAGGCUUAGAAAAACGAUUGUGAACACAAGAAUCUUUCUUUUCAGUUGCUCUUCUGUUUCUAGAAAUAUGCUUUUUCAUCAUAUAUGUAUUUCACUUACAGAGAAAAAUGUGAAGAUUAGUUGUUAGGAUGACAACUGCAUCCUAAUGUAAUUCCAAGCAAUUUGAGAUAGAAUAAGAUUCUGAAUGUUCUUCAUAAAUUAUAAUGGAGUGUUACAUAUAUAAAUGCUAAAACAUACAUAAUUUUAUUUAGUUACCAGAAUUUAACAUAUAACUGCAUCAGCACACUGGCAGAAUACCUUCUGGGAGCAGCCCAAGGUGAAAAGACUGUUUAAAUCCUCAGCUGCUGCUUCAGAAGGAAUAAGUGUUCUUUGUGUACAGGUGAAUUCAAUGCAGCUGAAAUUUUGUAUUGCAUUAGAAGUCAGAUAUUUAGUCAUACCUUGGUCGUCACCACCACAACCUUUAAGGUCAGCAGGAAAACUAGUCUGUGCUCUCUUACAGCAGUGAAAUCUUCAGCUGGGCUGCAUUAGUUUGUCUGCUUAACUACAUGUUCCUUCGUGCAAAUGAAGUUGUCAUAGAAGGUAGACAUUAACCUGAGUACAUCCAAUUGGAUGCCUUGUAGGUGAGAAAGCUUGUGUCCUACCAGCAUGCUGUUCCCCACACUUGUUUCCUAGACUUAUACUUGAAAUAAUCUUGUGCAUUAAGUUUAAAUAUAAUCACAGAGAUAUCUCUAAAUCUGCAAAGAUGCUACUGUUCAGGGUGUUAUCCCAGUACAGCAGGUGUAAAAACAGUUAGACUCCAGAGUAAUGAUCUAAAGAAGUAUUUUCUUUCAGGAAUACACAUUUUUUUCACUUCUAAUUGUUCAUCUUGUAGUUACUGAAUGUUUUAGGAAGUUAGUGUGUGAAUACUAGUAAGAUUUGUCAGCUGUUAAAGGGAAUGGAUUGUAUGUCCUUUUGUGCUUCUGUGAAUUGGAAAAAAAAAACCCAAACCACCAAACAAUUCUAAGGCGACAUAAAUACUCAAGAGAUAUUUUCAAUAAAAUACAUAUUUGAUAUAAAUAGCAUUUUGAUUUGAGAUCUAACUUUCUAAAUUGAAUUCAGGUAUUUAAUGUCACCAUUAUAUAAUCUGUUUCUGGAUUAUUUGUCAGUAUAAGGUAUACAGAUGAGGCCUUUAGAGCUAAAAAUCUAAAACCUCUUAAAAUUAUGUGGCUGGAGAUUUUAGUAGUUUGAAACGUGCUUAGCUUUUAUACAAGCAAAGAAGUUUUGAAGGUCCUUAAUAUUUUGAGGUUUUAGAGGAUAAUCUGGUAUUUAUGUAACUCAAAUUUUGACUGUGGCAAUAUAUGGAAUAGAAUGUAAUUCUUCAGAAAUGCUUACAGAAAGCACUAUAGAUAGAUACCUGAUUUACAGUUAGGAAAAGGCUACAGUAUUUGACAUCUGUAUUGAUAACAACUGGACUGUAAGCUUUAUAAAUACAAUCAGUAUUAUAACCAUUUGGAUUUGGCUGAGCAAAUAAGGAGGAGAGGAAGAGGGAAAUUUGAAAAUCUUUAAAAAUGAGAAAGGUAAAAAAUAUCUACUAGUCUACUGACAAAAUUGGGACCCUGCAAUACUGGCUUUCGUCAUACACAAUACAUCAUACACAAUUCAGGAUAAUAUCUCUAUAAAGUGUCUUGUGAAUAGAAUGCAUUCUGCAAAUUUGUAUUAGAAAUAAAUGGUCAAAUUUUCACUUGAUGAAGUUUCCUAAGUAAAAGGGUCAUGACCUAGGCAUUGUUUUGAAACUCGAAGAUAGCAAGAACAGUGAUGGAGAAGAAUGAUUUAACAUAUAGUUGAUUUAUAUUUUUAAACGACUACAUUACACUGCAAAAAAGGUAUUAAUUUUGAGUUGUGGAUGUAUUGCAUGUUCAUGUAACAGUUUAGCUCCAAUUAACAAAAAAAAAAAAAGGUGACAUUUAAACUGUAAAUACUGUAUACUAUUAUCUUUAUUUUUUUUUAGCAACUUUUUUAUUUCCUGGUUUGUGUACAGUUCUCUAUGUACAUAUAGAAACAAAAAAAAGCAAACCACAACAUUUUGAGAAACGUUGUAGUUAACUCUUUUGCAUUUUAACUGCAGUAAUGGUCUAAACAUAUCCAUUCAGCUGUUUGUUUAGUUCUAAGAUUUCAUCAUAUGCUUUCAGGUUCUUUGAAA